GUCAGGAGAAAUCUGAUUGGUUAAAGUUGUUUUGUGGGCCAUGUAGGUUGUUGAAUUAUGGUUGGUUUAUUUAAUUGGAGAAUAAAUGAAAGGCUAGUUUGGGGAGUGCAAGGAUAAAAGGGUAGAAAGAAUAGAGAAGGGGCAGUAAGAAUUCAUUUAAGGGGGUAUGAGGUAUAUGAAGUUAAUCUCCUUUAUUUUAUGAUGUUUAACGGAAAAAAAAACCACAGAAAACUAUCUUCUUUUCGUGUGUUCUAAAAAGUAAAAACAGAUUUAGCAUCAGAGAAAUAAACUACUAUAGAAGAAAAAUAAAAUAUAGACUUACCCCACUCGUGCUACAUGAUCACAACUUAAAAGCAUUGGGCAAUAAUUGAAUGAGACAUUGCUCACUAAACAUUCCAUAUGUAUAUUGCGCCAUCGAGAAGUUUUACGACGUUAGAAGAAUCUCUUUCCUCAGUAAUAAUGGGCUUAGACCUUAUUUUUU
rnacentral:lncRNA from 1 species